GAUUGAACGCUGACGGCGUGGAUGAGGCAUGCAAGUCGAACGAAGUUUCCGGUUCGCCGGAAACUUAGUGGCGGAAGGGUUAGUAAUACAUGGAUAAUCUGCCUCUAACUCGGGAAUAACGGUUGGAAACGACCGCUAAUACCGGAUGUGGUGGGAUAGCAUAAGUUAUCUUCAUUAAAGUGGGGGAUCGUAAGACCUCGCGGUUAGAGAAGAGUCCAUGGGAUAUCAGCUUGUUGGUGAGGUAAAAGCUCACCAAGGCUAAGACGUCUAGGCGGACUGAGAGGUUGAUCGCCAACACUGGGACUGAGAUACUGCCCAGACUUCUACGGAAGGCUGCAGUCGAGAAUCAUUCGCAAUGGGCGAAAGCCUGACGAUGCGACGCCGUGUGUGCGAAGAAGGCCUUCGGGUUGUAAAGCACUUUCGCCUGGGAACAAGAGAAGCCGGUUAAUAACCGGCUAAUUUGAGGGUACCAGGUAAAGAAGCACCGGCUAACUCCGUGCCAGCAGCUGCGGUAAUACGGAGGGUGCAAGCGUUAAUCGGAAUUAUUGGGCGUAAAGAGCGCGUAGGUGGAAAUGCCAGUCAGGUGUGAAAUUCCAGAGCUCAACUCUGGAGCUGCACUUGAAACUACAUUUCUAGAGGAUAGGCGGAGAAAGUGGAAUUCCAUAUGUAGCGGUGAAAUGCGUAGAUAUAUGGAGGAACACCCGUGGCGAAGGCGACUUUCUAGCCUACUCAUGACACUGAGGCGCGAAAGCGAGGGGAGCAAACAGGAUUAGAUACCCUGGUAGUCCUCGCCGUAAACGAUGCAUACUUGGUGUAGUUGGUCUCAACCCCAGCUGCGCCGUAGCUAACGUGUUAAGUAUGCCGCCUGGGGAGUACGCUCGCAAGGGUGAAACUCAAAAGAAUUGACGGGGACCCGCACAAGCAGUGGAGCAUGUGGUUUAAUUCGAUGCAACGCGAAGAACCUUACCCAGACUUGACAUGAUGAGGGCCGGUACAGAAAUGUACCUUCUCGUAUGAGUCUCAUCACAGGUGCUGCAUGGCUGUCGUCAGCUCGUGCCGUGAGGUGUUGGGUUAAGUCCCGCAACGAGCGCAACCCUCGUCACUAGUUGCCAACAUUUCGGAUGGGAACUCUAGUGAGACUGCCUGGGUUAACCAGGAGGAAGGUGAGGACGAGGUCAAGUCAGCAUGGCCCUUAUGUCUGGGGCUACACACGUGCUACAAUGGUUGGUACAAUAGGCAGCAAGACCGAAAGGUGGAGCAAAUCCCAAAAACCAACCCCAGUUCGGAUUGUGGUCUGCAACUCGACCACAUGAAGUCGGAAUUGCUAGUAAUGGCGUGUCAGCAAUAACGCCGUGAUACGUUCCCGGGUCUUGUACACACCGCCCGUCACAUCAUGGAAGUUGGUCCCACCCGAAGUCGCUGACUCAACCGCAAGGGGAGAAGCGCCGAAGGUGAGGCC
rnacentral:rRNA from 1 species